UACGUAGGUGGCAAGCGUUGUCCGGAUUUACUGGGCGUAAAGGGCGUGCAGGCGGUUUGUUAAGUGCCGGGUGAAAGCUCCCGGCUCAACUGGGAGAGGUCCUUGCAUACUGGCAAACUCGAGGGAGGCAGAGGAAAGUGGAAUUCCCGGUGUAGUGGUGAUAUGCGUAGAUAUCGUCAAGAACACCGAUAGUGAAGACAGCUCACUAAGCUCAAACUGACGCUGAGGCACGAAAGUGUGGGGAUCAAACAGG
rnacentral:rRNA from 1 species